rnacentral:rRNA from 1 species
UACGUAGGGUGCGAGCAUUGUCCGGAUUUAUUGGGCGUAAAGAGCUCGUAGGCGGUCCGCCACGUCGGAUGUGAAAACUCGGGGCUUAACCCCGAGCCUGCAUCCGAUACGGGCGGACUAGAGUGUUGCAGGGGAGACUGGAAUUCCUGGUGUAGCGGUGAAAUGCGCAGAUAUCAGGAGGAACACCGGUGGCGAAGGCGGGUCUCUGGGCAACUACUGACGCUGAGGAGCGAAAGCGUGGGGAGCAAACAGG